GACGAGCGCUGGCGGCGUGCCUAAUACAUGCAAGUCGAACGCUUCUUUCCUCCCGAGUGCUUGCACUCAAUUGGAAAGAGGAGUGGCGGACGGGUGAGUAACACGUGGGUAACCUACCCAUCAGAGGGGGAUAACACUUGGAAACAGGUGCUAAUACCGCAUAACAGUUUAUGCCGCAUGGCAUAAGAGUGAAAGGCGCUUUCGGGUGUCGCUGAUGGAUGGACCCGCGGUGCAUUAGCUAGUUGGUGAGGUAACGGCUCACCAAGGCCACGAUGCAUAGCCGACCUGAGAGGGUGAUCGGCCACACUGGGACUGAGACACGGCCCAGACUCCUACGGGAGGCAGCAGUAGGGAAUCUUCGGCAAUGGACGAAAGUCUGACCGAGCAACGCCGCGUGAGUGAAGAAGGUUUUCGGAUCGUAAAACUCUGUUGUUAGAGAAGAACAAGGACGUUAGUAACUGAACGUCCCCUGACGGUAUCUAACCAGAAAGCCACGGCUAACUACGUG
rnacentral:rRNA from 1 species